rnacentral:rRNA from 1 species
GACGAAGGGGGCAAGCGUUGUUCGGAAUUACUGGGCGUAAAGGGCUCGUAGGUGGCCAACUAAGUCAGACGUGAAAUCCCUCGGCUUAACCGGGGAACUGCGUCUGAUACUGGAUGGCUUGAGAUUGGGAGAGGGAUGCGGAAUUCCAGGUGUAGCGGUGAAAUGCGUAGAUAUCUGGAGGAACACCGGUGGCGAAGGCGGCAUCCUGGACCAACACUGACACUGAGGAGCGAAAGCCAGGGGAGCAAACGGG